CGAAGCGAACCGGGGGAACUGAAACAUCUAAGUACCCCGAGGAAAAGAAAUCAACCGAGAUUCCCCCAGUAGCGGCGAGCGAACGGGGAGCAGCCCAGAGUCUGAAUCAGCUUGUGUGUUAGUGGAACGGUCUGGAAAGUCCGACGGUACAGGGUGAUAGUCCCGUACACCAAAAUGCACAGGCUGUGAACUCGAAGAGUAGGGCGGGACACGUGGUAUCCUGUCUGAAUAUGGGGGGACCAUCCUCCAAGGCUAAAUACUCCUGACUGACCGAUAGUGAACCAGUACCGUGAGGGAAAGGCGAAAAGAACCCCGGCGAGGGGAGUGAAAAAGAACCUGAAACCGUGUACGUACAAGCAGUGGGAGCACCUUCGGGUGUGACUGCGUACCUUUUGUAUAAUGGGUCAGCGACUUAUAUUCUGUAGCAAGGUUAACCGUAUAGGGGAGCCGCAGGGAAACCGAGUCUUAACUGGGCGUUAAGUUGCAGGGUAUAGACCCGAAACCCGGUGAUCUAGCCAUGGGCAGGUUGAAGGUUGGGUAACACUAACUGGAGGACCGAACCGACUAAUGUUGAAAAAUUAGCGGAUGACUUGUGGCUGGGGGUGAAAGGCCAAUCAAACCGGGAGAUAGCUGGUUCUCCCCGAAAGCUAUUUAGGUAGCGCCUCGUGAACUCAUCUUCGGGGGUAGAGCACUGUUUCGGCUAGGGGGUCAUCCCGACUUACCAACCCGAUGCAAACUACGAAUACCGAAGAAUGUUAUCACGGGAGACACACGGCGGGUGCUAACGUCCGUCGUGAAGAGGGAAACAACCCAGACCGCCAGCUAAGGUCCCAAAGUCAUGGUUAAGUGGGAAACGAUGUGGGAAGGCACAGACAGCCAGGAUGUUGGCUUAGAAGCAGCCAUCAUUUAAAGAAAGCGUAAUAGCUCACUGGUCGAGUCGGCCUGCGCGGAAGAUGUAACGGGGCUAAACCAUGCACCGAAGCUGCGGCAGCGACACUAUGUGUUGUUGGGUAGGGGAGCGUUCUGUAAGCCUGCGAAGGUGUGCUGUGAGGCAUGCUGGAGGUAUCAGAAGUGCGAAUGCUGACAUAAGUAACGAUAAAGCGGGUGAAAAGCCCGCUCGCCGGAAGACCAAGGGUUCCUGUCCAACGUUAAUCGGGGCAGGGUGAGUCGACCCCUAAGGCGAGGCCGAAAGGCGUAGUCGAUGGGAAACAGGUUAAUAUUCCUGUACUUGGUGUUACUGCGAAGGGGGGACGGAGAAGGCUAUGUUAGCCGGGCGACGGUUGUCCCGGUUUAAGCAUGUAGGCUGAUUGUCCAGGCAAAUCCGGAUAAUCAAGGCUGAGGUGUGAUGACGAGGCACUACGGUGCUGAAGUAACAAAUGCCCUGCUUCCAGGAAAAGCCUCUAAGCAUCAGGUAACAUCAAAUCGUACCCCAAACCGACACAGGUGGUCAGGUAGAGAAUACCAAGGCGCUUGAGAGAACUCGGGUGAAGGAACUAGGCAAAAUGGUGCCGUAACUUCGGGAGAAGGCACGCUGGUGUGUAGGUGAAGUCCCUGCGGAUGGAGCUGAGACCAGUCGAAGAUACCAGCUGGCUGCAACUGUUUAUUAAAAACACAGCACUGUGCAAACACGAAAGUGGACGUAUACGGUGUGACGCCUGCCCGGUGCCGGAAGGUUAAUUGAUGGGGUUAUCCGUAAGGAGAAGCUCUUGAUCGAAGCCCCGGUAAACGGCGGCCGUAACUAUAACGGUCCUAAGGUAGCGAAAUUCCUUGUCGGGUAAGUUCCGACCUGCACGAAUGGCGUAAUGAUGGCCAGGCUGUCUCCACCCGAGACUCAGUGAAAUUGAACUCGCUGUGAAGAUGCAGUGUACCCGCGGCAAGACGGAAAGACCCCGUGAACCUUUACUAUAGCUUGACACUGAACAUUGAGCCUUGAUGUGUAGGAUAGGUGGGAGGCUUUGAAGCGUGGACGCCAGUCUGCGUGGAGCCAACCUUGAAAUACCACCCUUUAAUGUUUGAUGUUCUAACGUUGGCCCCUGACCGGGGUUGCGGACAGUGUCUGGUGGGUAGUUUGACUGGGGCGGUCUCCUCCCAAAGCGUAACGGAGGAGCACGAAGGUUAGCUAAUCCUGGUCGGACAUCAGGAGGUUAGUGCAAUGGCAUAAGCUAGCUUGACUGCGAGCGUGACGGCGCGAGCAGGUGCGAAAGCAGGUCAUAGUGAUCCGGUGGUUCUGAAUGGAAGGGCCAUCGCUCAACGGAUAAAAGGUACUCCGGGGAUAACAGGCUGAUACCGCCCAAGAGUUCAUAUCGACGGCGGUGUUUGGCACCUCGAUGUCGGCUCAUCACAUCCUGGGGCUGAAGUAGGUCCCAAGGGUAUGGCUGUUCGCCAUUUAAAGUGGUACGCGAGCUGGGUUUAGAACGUCGUGAGACAGUUCGGUCCCUAUCUGCCGUGGGCGCUGGAGAAUUGAGGGGGGCUGCUCCUAGUACGAGAGGACCGGAGUGGACGCAUCACUGGUGUUCGGGUUGUCAUGCCAAUGGCACUGCCCGGUAGCUAAAUGCGGAAGAGAUAAGUGCUGAAAGCAUCUAAGCACGAAACUUGCCCCGAGAUGAGUUCUCCCUGAGACUUUAAGUCUCCUGAAGGAACGUUGAAGACGACGACGUUGAUAGGCCGGGUGUGUAAGCGCAGCGAUGCGUUGAGCUAACCGGUACUAAUGAACCGUGAGGCUUAACCUU
rnacentral:rRNA from 1 species